rnacentral:lncRNA from 1 species
CCGGGGGAUGCUGGCCUGCACCAGGGACCUUAGCCCAGCCCAGCAUACACCUACAGGGGAGUCAGUGCCAAAUGCCAUCAGGGAACUGUUUCUCUUCAGGGCUCUGGCCAGGAGACAUGUGAGCAAGGAGGUUGGCUGGUGCAUGUCUGGGGUCAUCGAGUGAGCACAGAAGUAUUUCAAUGUUUUAACAGCUGGUAUGGCUUUACUGGAAGUUCCUGAACACUCCCAGGAAGCCUGCCCUUGCAAGAUAUCGCCCUUCAUUCCUUAACUCAGAUGCUCCACUGGGAUUCUGAGAAGCUUCAAUUCACUGAUAUACAUCGGUGGGAGCUGCUGAGCCAUUUAAGCUUUGACUAUCUCUACUUGAAAGGCAUGAGAUAAAGUUUUCCACUGCUGGAGAGGAGAGCAUUUAAGUGACUUAGGCUCUCAACCAAUCACACUCCCCCAGCAACCCUGAGAGGGUCCUUGAAUGUUAAUUUCAUGAUUCAAAAUAAAUGGAUCAUCAACCUUUGGGAAAUUCAUUCAUCAAACAUACACUAAGUCCCUACUAUGCACCAGGCACUAGGGAGGAUAAAUGAAGCUGCAGGAAAUGCCAGAGGUUUCCUUUGCUUCUUUCACACAUCACAAAGCACAUCAUCAGCUCACAGAUGGGAGUGUGCUAGGCAAAUCCAAUGUCCCUAUUCUAUUUCCCCAAUAGGCAAAGCACUCUGUGCACCUAGGCAGAGUUAGUGGCCAGAGCAGCUCAGGAGCUCCAGGAACCACCCCCUUCCUGGGUCUGCUUCCUCCAUUUCCCUAAGGUAAAUCUUCUUUGGCACCCAAAGUCUGUGGUUCCAAGAAGCCACAGGUCAAAACAAGCACUAGUGUGCCAGGUCACCUCUGUUAUUCCCAGUGUCGGAGAACCAUGCUCCCGCAAAGAUCUUUAAUAUGGAACCCUCAGUGGCUUCUGCAGAACUUGGAAGUAGUAACUAUGAGGGCUCAAAUCAGCCACUCAGCCCAGACCAGACUUUGGCUUUGGGGAUGGUAUUGCAAUUAAUUAUGCAAUAUGGUUCUUUGCUGAUAAUCCCCUUGCUGCUGCUGGGAGGCAGAGGCAAAGCUGCUUCUUACUAGAGAGCUUUCUUUUUAAUUUAAAACUGGACUCUUAAAGGAGCAACUAACUCUUCUUGUAUGUACUGAACAUUUAGAAACUAACAUUGUAAAGGACAGCUUUUCAACACAAAGGUCGAGUAGUUUCAUCUUAUAGAAUCUUGGAAUAGCCUGUCUGGCUAGGUGUGGA